GUUGCGUGUAGUUCAGCUGGUCAGAACGCCGGGUUGUGGCCCCGGAGGUCAGCGGUUCGAGCCCGCUCACGCACCCCA
rnacentral:tRNA from 1 species